rnacentral:rRNA from 1 species
UGAGGAACAUGACCUUCGGCGGGGGAUAGCCGGCCCAACGGCCGGGUAAUACCGCGUACGACCACAUGGGGACAUCCCUGAGUGGUGAAAGCAGCAAUGCGCCGAUGGAGUGCCUCGCGGCCUAUCAGCUAGUUGGUGAGGUAACGGCUCACCAAGGCGACGACGGGUAGCUGGUCUGAGAGGAUGGCCAGCCACAUUGGGACUGAGACACGGCCCAGACCUCGUACGGGGA